CUUAUGGUCAGUAAACUAUAGAAGAAUUUUUAUAGAGAAAAUCGUAGAGUACCACUUAACUAUCGUGUGAAAAUGAUUUUCAAGCUCGUCACUCAAUGCAGACAAUUUUUCUCCAGUAUUUUUAAUAUGUCCUUUUAAUUUUAUUACGAAUUUCUCAAUCAAACUACACACUUACUUAGAUAACAUAGACUCUUGAUUGUCAAAGGUUAAUAUAUAUGUUUUUUUUUUUUUAUCUAAGAGUUGAACUUAGAAGCUGACUUUUUUCACUCCUCAAAAUAUAAGUUUUAAAGAUGUACCACCUCUAAGUAGCAAACCUAAAAAAUUAGGUAAUAUGGCUCAAGGUGAAACAUCUAUGAGUCGUCCAAUAUUAGUUGAUUCAUUAAAGGAGUGAUUGAAAUUAAGACACAUAGUGAUACUUACAAAAAUCAAAUGACAAUUUGCGUUCUUGGUCCACGCCUUUUAUACACAAAUUAAGGAAAAAGACGUACUAGAAUCUAAUGGACGAGAUUUAGUAUUGAAAAUCAUAAAUUUUUUUACAUCAACAAUUGCAUGUUUAGAUGUAUGUUAUCAUUAUCCCAUCAUUUAUCUUGUUAUUACAAAUCUUUCACGGAUUUUAAAUAAUCUAUCAUUUUCAUUUUAUAAAUAGAUUGUAAAAAUAAGAGAAAUUUAAAAUAAUAUUGGAAACUAGGACCAGUCUCAGGCCGAGCUUUUACGAGCCACCAUUGGCCCGUCGACACCCUUACAUUUCUCUUUUGGAUACUCGGAACAAUCCAUGCCUCCGAUGACAGUUCUUCCAUCUUCAUAUAUAUCCAUAAAACUAACAAGAAACUCAUAUCCUUCAACCAACCCAAGAAGGAUCAUUUCCCAAAUUACCCAUUUUGGCUCAUCAGAUUCACCACAGUGGACGGCCCCUGAGAUAGCAGAGGCUAUAAAUGACAGAAUCAUCAAGUGGGGCCCACCUGGUACAAUCUCGAUUGAUACCAGGAACCUUCAACCGGGCCAAUGGUUCCUUCCUCUCGUUGCCCAAAACUAUGAUGCCCACAGUUUCAUAACCCCUGAGCUGUCCUCCAAAGGUUGCAAAGGAGUCAUUGGCAACCAAGUCUGCAAAGACUGGGACAUGGGUUUUGUUCAAGUCGAUGGCAGUUCAUUGAAUUCAUUAAAAAGAUUGGGCCUUUUCGCAAGGAACGUGACAAAUGGUUGCUUGAUUGGGUUAACCGGGAGUGUGGACAAGAUCACCACAAGAACUAUGAUUGCAUUGGCUUUAGAAAGCAUAGGAACUGCAUAUCAGAGCCAUGGUAAUUGGAAUAAUGAAGUUGGGGUUGCAUUGACUCAUUGGGAUGCCGAGGAAUGUGGAGUUUGCGGUGUUGGAGUUGGAGUUGGGGAUGAGCAAGAAAGGAGAAAUAUUGUAGCUUGCUCGGAUGUGUAGGCCAAAAGUAAGGAUGAUUCUUAAUGUGGGUGCUUCACAUUUGGAGAACUUCGCGAGUUUGGAGGAGGUUUCGAUGGCAAAAUGGGAGAUUUUGAGAGAUGCAUGCCAGGGAACAUUUGUGUUUUGAAUGCUGAUGAUCCUCUUGUCAUGAGUCUUCCUGUCCCCGUGGGUGUCAAGAAGGGUCAAAUUUGUGAUUCCGAGUCCAGGUUUGCAUUUGGCUCUGGACGCAUGUGCAGCAGCUGCUGUUGCAACAUUUUUGGGAGUUCCUCUUGCUCUAUGCGGAAAAUCCUUCUCAACAUUUAUA